CCCUUAGAUGUCCUGGGCCGCACGCGUGCUACACUGACGCAUACAGCGAGUACUUCCCCGGCUCCGUGAGGCAGCCGGUAAUCAGCAAUAUGCGUCGUGAUGGGGAUAGAUCUUUGGAAUUCUGGAUCUUGAACGAGGAAUGCCUAGUAAGCGCAAGUCAUUAGCUUGCGCUGACUAAGUCCCUGCCCUUUGUACACCGCCCGUCGCUCCUACCGAUCGAAGAGUUAGGUGAAUUGUUUUGAUCGAUAAGAUUUGACUAUGGUCAACUCUCGUUGUGAAAUUCUGUGAAUCUGACUGUUUAGAGGAAGGAAAAGUCGUAACA
rnacentral:rRNA from 1 species